rnacentral:rRNA from 1 species
UACAGAGGUCUCAAGCGUUUGUUCGGAUUCAUUGGGCGUAAAGGGUGUGUAGGUGGCGCCGUAAGUCGGGUGUGAAAUUUCGAGGCUUAACCUCGAAACUGCAUUCGAUACUGCGGUGCUUGAGGACUGGAGAGGAGACUGGAAUUCAUGGUGUAGCAGUGAAAUGCGUAGAUAUCAUGAGGAAGACCAGUGGCGAAGGCGGGUCUCUGGACAGUUCCUGACACUGAGACACGAAGGCCAGGGGAGCAAACGGGG